AGGAAGGCGGCGAGGUCGGCGCGCGCGGCCUUCAGCGCCGCUUGGUAGUCGGCGACGGCGACGGCCUCGUUCGUGCCGUGGCUCAUCUC
rnacentral:tRNA from 1 species